UACAGAGGGGGCAAGCGUUGUUCGGAAUUACUGGGCGUAAAGGGCGCGUAGGCGGUUCGUUAAGUCCUGUGUGAAAUCCCCCGGCUCAACUGGGGAACUGCACAGGAAACUAGCGGGCUUGAGUUCGGGAGAGGGAAGCGGAAUUCCGGGUGUAGCGGUGAAAUGCGUAGAUAUCGGGAGGAACACCAGUGGCGAAGGCGGCGAUCUGGGAAGAUACUGACGCUGAGGUGCG
rnacentral:rRNA from 1 species